rnacentral:rRNA from 1 species
AGUGAACGCUGGCGGUAGGCCUAACACAUGCAAGUCGAACGGCAGCACAGUAAGAGCUUGCUCUUACGGGUGGCGAGUGGCGGACGGGUGAGGAAUACAUCGGAAUCUACUUUUUCGUGGGGGAUAACGUAGGGAAACUUACGCUAAUACCGCAUACGACCUACGGGUGAAAGCAGGGGAUCUUCGGACCUUGCGCGAUUGAAUGAGCCGAUGUCGGAUUAGCUAGUUGGCGGGGUAAAGGCCCACCAAGGCGACGAUCCGUAGCUGGUCUGAGAGGAUGAUCAGCCACACUGGAACUUAGACACGGUCCAGACUCCUACGGGAGGCAGCAGUGGGGAAUAUUGGACAAUGGGCGCAAGCCUGAUCCAGCCAUACCGCGUGGGUGAAGAAGGCCUUUGGGUUGUAAAGCCCUUUUGUUGGGAAAGAAAAGCAGCAGGUUAAUACCCCGCUGUUCUGACGGUACCCAAAGAAUAAGCACCGGCUAACUUCGUG